GACGAACGCUGGCGGCGUGCUUAACACAUGCAAGUCGAACGGAAAGGCCCUGCUUUUGUGGGGUGCUCGAGUGGCGAACGGGUGAGUAACACGUGUGUAACCUGCCCUUGACUUUGGGAUAACUUCAGGAAACUGGGGCUAAUACCGGAUAGGAGCUCCUGCUGCAUGGUGGGGGUUGGAAAGUUUCGGCGGUUGGGGAUGGACUCGCGGCUUAUCAGCUUGUUGGUGGGGUAGUGGCUUACCAAGGCUUUGACGGGUAGCCGGCCUGAGAGGGUGACCGGCCACAUUGGGACUGAGAUACGGCCCAGACUCCUACGGGAGGCAGCGGUGGGGAAUAUUGCACUAUGGGCGGAAGCCUGAUGCAGCAACGCCGCGUGCGGGAUGACGGCCUUCGGGUUGUAAACCGCUUUCGCCUGUGACGAAGCGUGAGUGACGGUAAUGGGUAAAGAAGCACCGGCUAACUACGUG
rnacentral:rRNA from 1 species